GGGGAUGUUUUGGUUUUGACAGCAUUGCUCCUUUCAGUAAGCACGCCGUGAGGUGGGAAUACUCACGAUAAUCUCUGUUUCCGACCAAUUUAGUUGGCAAUUACAACUACUCAUACGCUUGCUAAUCCACAAAGUGGUUUAGAUUAAUCAGGGGCGCCAAGGCUGCGCAACUGACGUAUAUCCCGCCGGGAUUCAGUCCGGUCCUUUCCAGCAUACGGGGUAUCAUCCAGACCGGAUGCUCAGUCCCGACUCCGCUGCGGACUGCCAAGAUCAAGCGGAUAAGCUCCGGCUAAGCCUGCCUUCCGGCAUACCGGAGUCGACAAUCAAAGAAAGGAUAAGCGUGUAGAAAACUGCCGGGUACGGUGUUUGGACGGCGGUUCGAGUCCGCCCAUCUCCACCA
rnacentral:tmRNA from 1 species